AUCACUUCUCGGCCUUUUGGCUAAGAUCAAGUGUAGUAGCUGGGACCACAGGUACCCACCACAACAUCCAGCUAUUUUUUGGUUGCAGUUGUCAUUGUUGUUUGGCAGGCCCGUGCUGGAUUCAAACCCGCCAGCUCUGGUGUAUGUGACUGGCGCCUUGGCCACUUAAGCCACAGGCGCUGAGCCC